GAUGAAGAACGUAGCGAAAUGCGAUAAGUAAUGUGAAUUGCAGAAUUCAGUGAAUCACCGAAUCUUUGAACGCACAUUGCGCCCGCCAGUAUUCUGGCGGGCAUGCCUGUUCGAGCGUCAUUUCAACCAUCAAGCCCCAGGCUUGUGUUGGGGACCUGCGGCUGCCGCAGGCCCUGAAAACCAGUGGCGGGCUCGCUGUCACACCGGGCGUAGUAGAUUUUAUCUCGCUCAGGGCGUGCUGCGGGUUCCGGCCGUUAAAAAGCCUUUUUUACCCAAGGUUGACCUCGGAUCAGGUAGGAAGACCCGCUGAACUUAAGCAUAUCAAUAAGCGGAGGA
rnacentral:misc_RNA from 1 species